rnacentral:rRNA from 1 species
UACGGAGGGGGCUAGCGUUGUUCGGAAUUACUGGGCGUAAAGCGCGCGUAGGCGGAUCUGCAAGUCGGGGGUGAAAUCCCGAGGCUCAACCUCGGAACUGCCUUCGAUACUGCGGGUCUCGAGUCCGGGAGAGGUGAGUGGAAUUCCUAGUGUAGAGGUGAAAUUCGUAGGUAUUAGGAAGAACACCAGUGGCGAAGGCGGCUCACUGGCCCGGUACUGACGCUGAGGCGCGAAAGCGUGGGGAGCAAACAGG